rnacentral:rRNA from 1 species
GAUGAACGCUAGCGGCAGGCCUAACACAUGCAAGCCGAGGGGUAGAGGGUGCUUGCACCCUUGAGACCGGCGCACGGGUGCGUAACGCGUAUGCAACCUACCUAUUGCAGGGGAAUAGCCCAGGGAAACUUGGAUUAAUGCCCCAUAGUCCAUAUUGAGAGCAUUUGAGAUAUGGUAAAGAUUUAUCGGCAAUAGAUGGGCAUGCGUCCCAUUAGCUAGUUGGUAUGGUAACGGCAUACCAAGGCUACGAUGGGUAGGGGCCCUGAGAGGGGGAUCCCCCACACUGGUACUGAGACACGGACCAGACUCCUACGGGAGGCAGCAGUGAGGAAUAUUGGACAAUGGGCGGGAGCCUGAUCCAGCCAUGCCGCGUGCAGGAAGACUGCCCUAUGGGUUGUAAACUGCUUUUUUACGGGAAGAAACACCCCCACGUGUGGGGGCUUGACGGUACCGUACGAAUAAGGACCGGCUAACUCCGUGCCAGCAGCCGCGGUAAUACGGAGGGUCCGAGCGUUAUCCGGAAUCAUUGGGUUUAAAGGGUCCGUAGGCGGGCGUCUAAGUCAGUGGUGAAAUCUCGCGGCUCAACCGUGAAAUUGCCAUUGAUACUGGUCGCCUUGAAUUAGUGUGAAGUGGCUAGAAUAUGUAGUGUAGCGGUGAAAUGCUUAGAUAUUACAUAGAAUACCGAUUGCGAAGGCAGGUCACUAACACUAUAUUGACGCUGAUGGACGAAAGCGUGGGGAGCGAACAGG